rnacentral:rRNA from 1 species
GACAGAGGGUGCAAACGUUGUUCGGAAUUACUGGGCGUAAAGCGCGUGUAGGCUGCUCAGAAAGUCGGAUGUGAAAGCCCUGGGCUUAACCUAGGAAGUGCAUUCGAAACUUCUGAGCUUGAGUUCUGGAGAGGAAGGCGGAAUUCUCGGUGUAGAGGUGAAAUGCGUAGAUAUCUGGAGGAACACCGGUGGCGAAGGCGGUUCUCUGGGACGGUACUGACGCUGAGACGCGAAAGCGUGGGGAGCGAACAGG